GAAAGGAUGACCGCGCCAACAUGUAUCCUUUGACCAUGACUUGGUCUUUUGGAUGGAACAGUUCCCUUCCUGUUUACUACAUUCGAGAUGAAAACCAGCGAGUUCUUCUGUAUGUCUGUGUUCACACUGCGGUCAUCUACGAUGUCUUCAAGAAUACUCAGCACCAUCUUCAGAUCCUGGGUCUGUAGUCAUGAACAAAACAGAUCUAGCCCUCC